AUGCUACAUAUCAUGUCUUAUAUUGUGUGUUCCCUAAUCUAUAGUAAGGUAACUGUAAGCAUGCCUCAUUUUCCAAGGAUGGAAUAUGCCAAAUAAAUCCUCAAUAUUGACAACAAAGGAAAAGUCUCUCGCUGGAUGCCACAGCAGUUGCUAGUUCUACAAGAUUCAGGAAAUCACACAGUAAGAAUGUAACAUUAACCUUUUGCAUGUUGAAGCCACUGUACUGGCUGUGAAGUUUCUCAAGUCCCAGUGAUUAUUAGAUAACCUUUUUCCUAAGCGCUUGGCAAUGAGGCAAGUAAUAAUAGACGGCAUCAAUUGAUGCAGCUGAACAGAACACACCAAGGGUCAACAGGAGGAGAUGAAGGGAGAGUGUAGAAAUAAGGAAAAACAGGUAUUACAAUUGGAGUUGCAGGAUAUAGCCA
rnacentral:lncRNA from 1 species